rnacentral:rRNA from 1 species
GACGAACGCUGGCGGCGUGCCUAAUACAUGCAAGUUGAGCGCUGAAGGUUGGUACUUGUACCAACUGGAUGAGCAGCGAACGGGUGAGUAACGCGUGGGGAAUCUGCCUUUGAGCGGGGGACAACAUUUGGAAACGAAUGCUAAUACCGCAUAAAAACUUUAAACACAAGUUUUAAGUUUGAAAGAUGCAAUUGCAUCACUCAAAGAUGAUCCCGCGUUGUAUUAGCUAGUUGGUGAGGUAAAGGCUCACCAAGGCGAUGAUACAUAGCCGACCUGAGAGGGUGAUCGGCCACAUUGGGACUGAGACACGGCCCAAACUCCUACGGGAGGCAGCAGUAGGGAAUCUUCGGCAAUGGACGAAAGUCUGACCGAGCAACGCCGCGUGAGGGAAGAAGGGUUUCGGAUCGUAAAACUCUGUUGGUAGAGAAGAACGUUGGUGAGAGUGGAAAGCUCAUCAAGUGACGGUAACUACACAGAAAGGGACGGCUAACUACGUG